AUUCUGCCCAUGCGGGGAAGGAUGAGAAGCUUCGACUAAGGUUCGGCUCGAGCGUCAGCGAGAGAGCGUUGCCGCAGGCAACGACCCGAAGGGCGAAGCGCGCAGCGCUGAGUAAUCCUUCCCCCACCACUA
rnacentral:sRNA from 1 species